CGCACGAGCGUCGUCUGAAAUUUAAGUGAUCGAGCGAAAACAACAAAAUGUUUCUUAUUUUGACGUGUAGAAACGGCGUUACAACCGUAAAAGAUUGGCUGAAGAGAAAGCGAGACAAGAAGCGAGGCCGGAAGCUGGUAGACUUAAGGAGGAGAAGCAGCGAGAACUGCGCCUGAGACAACUUGAGGAGCAGCGGCGACUGAAGGAGGAGGCAGAGAGGUAGAAGAAGGAGGCAGCCUCCUGGCAGCAGAGAAAGCAGGGCUCUGACAGGGGCAGCAAGUCCUCUAGUAAGACUCCCUCCCCUUCCUCUGCUGGUCCUGGGACAGGAGGUCAAGACAGGUUCAGGCAAGGUGACACCAGUAGGGAGAACAAUAAGGUAUAGAGGAGAGGAAAACACAAAGAUGAUCAGCCGCCACUUCAAGUGAACAUCACGUGUGAGAUAGAGUCCACUUCCAGCACGCUGCCUGUCUCCACAGUCAUCCAGUCAUCU